CUCUUCUCCAGCUCUGAUAGGGCUGAUGUAACAAUGGCCUCAUGGGUCUCUUUGUGGCUCUUUCCUUCCUUCCUCUCCACAUACACAUGUCACCUUUUCCCCCAAUGACAUGACAGAGGGCCAUUUCACCUAGCAAUGGCACAUCUGGUGACAUCAUAGAGGAUCAAUUCAACUAGCAACAGCCUUUGCGGUACAAACAGAAAGAUAGACUUUGCGUUUUAAAAAGAUGGUUCACAUGGCUUCCCCUCCUUCAAAACAUGGAAAUGUUCCUGGAAAGAAGGAAAUGACUGCAUAAAGAAUUCUAGGUCCAAAUAUCAGUUGAGCAACCAACUGUCCUGUUUCAGUUUGUGCCUGGAUGAGAAGCUCUGACUGAGACUAGAUGCCUGCCACUUGCUGCUUCCUGUCCUUCCCUGUGGAUUUCAAACAAUCCAAGACAAGGCAUCCCUUCAGAUUUAUCAGGAAAUUCAGAAUACACAUUGAACUUCUAAAAUUUUGAGAACAACAAUUGGACUGAGUAGGGAGGAGAAGUUGACUUUAAGUUCCAAAAGAAGAGUGGGAAAUUAUUUUUAAGCACUGUUGGUCAUGCUACCUUGAGGAUUCUAGAAAUGGUAAUCCAAUAAAGGCUCUUUUCUCAGGCUUUAAAUAUAUGCAACAACAGAGAAAUCACGCAGAAGAUGAAGGGCUGUAUAUGGUUCUAGAUUUUCAAUACAAAGAAGGAACAAGUGAUCGAGAAAAGAUAUGAGCAAAGGCCAAAUUAUAACCAGGAGGUGCAGAUUCUGUUUGAAUUUCCUCAACACUUCUGUCUAAUUUGGGGAAUAGCUUGUAGGAAGGACUUGGGCAUUUUUUUUGAAUUUCUACUUUUAAAAAACUCUUAAAAUUAAAAACAUCAUAAGAGCCAAAAUCCAA